CCUUAAACUUUUCCGGCAAAAGUCCAUCGGAACUGCUGAUAUUUCCUUCUAAUGGCAUUAACAUUAGAAUUCCGACAUCCAGAGAAAUCAAGAAAAGAUACUAACUUAUAGAUGGAUGGACGUCGUAUUUUUUCGAUGGCUAGCCAACGUUCCCUUGUUGGAAGAACUUCAAAUUCUAGGGAAAUUGUGAUGAACCUUCGAUGGCAUGCCAUAAAAAUUUUUGGUACUCCCUAAUUAUCUUGGUACUCCACAGGUGAGAAAAUAUAUAAUAUUUCCCUAUUGAUUUAACGUCCUUUUUCUCAGUGCAUCUUCGCCAAUUGUGUUUGAAUUCUUUUUUUAAAGGUAAAGUGAGGCAAUUGUUCUUGAAUUUAUCACAGGCUUUUCUAAAUUCAAUUGAGACUUCGAGAAAUGCUUUCAUCUCAUUUGGUGUAUCAAUCUCGAGAGCUCAAUUUUCUCUCUGCUUCACUCUUCUUUAAAUUGCUUCUAAUCCUGCUUUAGCAUUUAAGUUAUUAAAAUUUUAGUUUAUCACAUGCAAUUAAUAUACAUAACAUUAUGUUAAGACUGUACGUUGAGAUUCAAGGUUAUAUAUUAGAACAUGUUGAUCUAAGCGGUAUAAGUUUUGAUGAUUGACAAGGAACACAUGCAUGAACCAGGUUCAUGGACAUUGUACACAGGUUACGGUUAGAAUCAAGCAAAAGGCAUGCACGUGCAAGGGAUAAGCAUAAGUGGUUAAUUCUGAUAAUAUCUGAACAAAAAUAUUGCAUAAUUAAUAAGAAGCAAGACUUCUUACUUGAAGAGAACUCUAUCCAAGAUAAAGAAAGAGUUAGAAGUUGAAGUUAACUAGAACUCUUCCACCAAGGAGAGUAAAGCAUCAGACUUCUAGUUAAUCCUUAUUCUACUAAAUCUAUAAAUAUUAGUUUGUUCUCUUUCAUAGAUUAUCCCACAUAUACUGAAGUUAAGCAGGAUUAAGAGCAAAAUAACAAGACAUUUUGUGAGAAAUUUCUGUGAGAUUCAAGAGCGCGAAUCUAAAACUACAUGAACCAGAUUGAAGAACCAGUUUCAUGUGUUUGUCUUUAAUUCUAGUUCAAGUGUAGAAGGAGUUUUUGAGUUGUACCUUUUAGCUUUCUUUAGAAGCAAAUUGUGCUAGUUACUUGAGUUGUAUCAUUCAAGUUAAAGUUAACUUGAAUUAGUCGCAACCGCCUGUGGCGUGUUGCUACAAGAGUUAGAGAUUAAUCAUUGGGUUUGCAAGAGUUUGUAAACUUUUUUGGCUCUGAGUUUAGUGUAGUAUUUGGGGAAAAUCCCAUUGGAAAGUAAGUCAUAUUUUUUUUUUGUCUUUUUGAGCCAAAUAUUUUUCAUGUAAAAAUCCUUGUGUUCUUUAUUUUUUGUAUUAUUUAUU
rnacentral:lncRNA from 1 species